CCUACGGGAGGCAGCAGUGGGGAAUAUUGCACAAUGGGGGGAACCCUGAUGCAGCAAUGCCGCGUGGGUGAAGACGCACUCCGGUGUGUAAAGCCCCGUCAGUAGGGAAGUAAAUGACAGUACCUGUACAAGAAGCCCCGGCUAACUACGUGCCAGCAGCCGCGGUAAUACGGCGGGGGCAAGCGUUAUCCGGAUUUACGGGGUUUAAAGGGGGCGCAGGCGGCGUGGCAAGUCAGAUGUGAAAACCCGGGGCCCAACCCCGGGAGUGCAUUUGAAACUGCCAUGCUGGAGUGCCGGAGAGGUAGGCGGAAUUCGUAGUGUAGCGGUGAAAUGCGUAGAUAUUAGGAAGAACACCGGUGGCGGAGGCAGCUUACUGGACGGUAACUGACGCUGAGGCUCGAAAGCGUGGGGAGCAAACAGGAUUAGAUACCCGUGUAGUC
rnacentral:rRNA from 1 species